CCCAAGAGAUCGGGAUAACACCUGGAAACAGAUGCUAAUACCGGAUAACAACAGAUGAUGCCUAUCAACUGUUUAAAAGAUGGUUCUGCUAUCACUCUUGGANUGGACCUGCGGUGCAUUAGCUAGUUGGUAGGGUAACGGCCUACCAAGGCGAUGAUGCAUAGCCGAGUUGAGAGACUGAUCGGCCACAUUGGGACUGAGACACGGCCCAAACUCCUACGGGAGGCAGCAGCA
rnacentral:rRNA from 1 species